AAUAAUAUUGUGGGAGCUGUACUGUUAGAUUUCAGUGCAGCCUUUGAUAUUAUUGACAAUAACUAUGUGUUAUGGCUUUUCAACAUCUGCCAUAUUGUGGAUUCAGCGCUAUCUAUCAAAUGGAACUCAAAGGGUUUUCUUUAAUGGAAGCUUCUCUAUUGUCAAACAUGUACAGUGUGGUGUAUUGCAGGGCUCUCUAGGCCCUCUACUCUUUUCUAUUUGUACCAAUGACCUGCCACUGGCAUUAAACAAAGCAUGUGUGUCCAUGUAUGCUGAUGAUUCAACCAUAUACACAUCAGCAACCACAGCUAAUGAAUUCACUCAAACCCUUAACAAAGAGUUGCAAUCUGUUUUGGAAUGGGUGGCCAGUAAUAAACUGGUCCUGAACAUCUCUAAAACUAAGAGCAUUAUAUUUGGUACAAAUCAUUCCCUAAGUUCUAGACCUCAGCUGAAUCUGGUAAUGAAUGGUGUGGCUGUUGAACAAGUUGAGGAGACAAAAUUACCUGGUGUUAACUUAGAUUGUAAACUGUCAUGGUCAAAACAUAUAGAUUCAAUGAUUGUAAAGAUGAGGAGAGGUCUGGCCAUAAUAAAGAGAUGCUCUACUUUUUUGACACCACACUACAAAAAGCAAGUCCUGCAGGCUCUAGUUUUGUCUUAUCUUGAUCAGUGUCCAGUCGUGUGGUCGAGUGCUGCAGGGAAAGACCUAGUAAAGCUGCAGCUGGCCCAGAACAGAGCGGCACAUCUUGCUCUUCAUUGUAAUAAGAGGGCUGAUAUUAAUACUAUGUAUGCCAGUUUCUCUUGGCUAAGAGUUGAGGAGAGACUGACUGCAUCACUUAUUUUUAUAAGAAUCAUUAAUGUGUUGAAAAUCCCAAAUUGUUUGCAUAGUCAACUUACACACAGCUCUGACAUACACACUUACCCCACCAGACAUGCCACCAGGGAUCGUUUCACAGUCCCCAAAUCCAGAACAAAUUCAAGAAAGCGUACAGUAUUAUAUAGAGCCAUUAUUGCAUGGAACUCUGUUCCAUCUCAAAUUGCUCAAAUAAACAGCAAACCUGGUUUCAAAAAAACAGAUAAAGCAACACCUCAUGGCACAACGCCUCUCCCCUAUUUCACCUAGAUAGUUUGUGUAUGUAUUAUUAUGUAGGCUACGUGUGUCUUUAAAAAAAAAUACACAAAAAAAACAUAUGUCUGUCCUUGACCUGUUCUUGUCUAUUAAUGUUCUGUAUUAUGUCAUGUUUCAUGUUUCGUGUGGACCCCAGGAAGAGUAGCUGCUGCUCUUGCAACAGCUCCCCCCCGGAUCCUAAUAAAAUACCUAAAAUACCAAUACACAUGAAAUUGUGUAA
rnacentral:lncRNA from 8 species